GGGUUGUGAGGUUAAGCGACUAAGCGUACACGGUGGAUGCCCUGGCAGUCAGAGGCGAUGAAGGACGUGCUAAUCUGCGAUAAGCGUCGGUAAGGUGAUAUGAACCGUUAUAACCGGCGAUUUCCGAAUGGGGAAACCCAGUGUGAUUCGUCACACUAUCAUUAACUGAAUCCAUAGGUUAAUGAGGCGAACCGGGGGAACUGAAACAUCUAAGUACCCCGAGGAAAAGAAAUCAACCGAGAUUCCCCCAGUAGCGGCGAGCGAACGGGGAGGAGCCCAGAGCCUGAAUCAGUGUGUGUGUUAGUGGAAGCGUCUGGAAAGGCGCGCGAUACAGGGUGACAGCCCCGUACACAAAAAUGCACAUGCUGUGAGCUCGAUGAGUAGGGCGGGACACGUGGUAUCCUGUCUGAAUAUGGGGGGACCAUCCUCCAAGGCUAAAUACUCCUGACUGACCGAUAGUGAACCAGUACCGUGAGGGAAAGGCGAAAAGAACCCCGGCGAGGGGAGUGAAAAAGAACCUGAAACCGUGUACGUACAAGCAGUGGGAGCACGCUUAGGCGUGUGACUGCGUACCUUUUGUAUAAUGGGUCAGCGACUUAUAUUCUGUAGCAAGGUUAACCGAAUAGGGGAGCCGAAGGGAAACCGAGUCUUAACUGGGCGUUAAGUUGCAGGGUAUAGACCCGAAACCCGGUGAUCUAGCCAUGGGCAGGUUGAAGGUUGGGUAACACUAACUGGAGGACCGAACCGACUAAUGUUGAAAAAUUAGCGGAUGACUUGUGGCUGGGGGUGAAAGGCCAAUCAAACCGGGAGAUAGCUGGUUCUCCCCGAAAGCUAUUUAGGUAGCGCCUCGUGAAUUCAUCUCCGGGGGUAGAGCACUGUUUCGGCAAGGGGGUCAUCCCGACUUACCAACCCGAUGCAAACUGCGAAUACCGGAGAAUGUUAUCACGGGAGACACACGGCGGGUGCUAACGUCCGUCGUGAAGAGGGAAACAACCCAGACCGCCAGCUAAGGUCCCAAAGUCAUGGUUAAGUGGGAAACGAUGUGGGAAGGCCCAGACAGCCAGGAUGUUGGCUUAGAAGCAGCCAUCAUUUAAAGAAAGCGUAAUAGCUCACUGGUCGAGUCGGCCUGCGCGGAAGAUGUAACGGGGCUAAACCAUG
rnacentral:rRNA from 1 species